rnacentral:rRNA from 1 species
UACAGAGGGUGCAAGCGUUGUUCGGAAUUAUUGGGCGUAAAGCGCGUGUAGGCGGCUCGAUAAGUCUGCUGUGAAAGUCCAGGGCUCAACCCUGGAAGGCCGGUGGAAACUGUCGGGCUAGAGUCCGGAAGAGGCGAGUGGAAUUCCCGGUGUAGCGGUGAAAUGCGCAGAUAUCGGGAGGAACACCAAUGGCGAAGGCAGCUCGCUGGGACGGUACUGACACUGAGAGACGAAAGCUAGGGGAGCGAAUGGG